CGGCGAGUUACGAUUUGAUGCAAGGUUAAGCAGUAAAUGUGGAGCCGUAGCGAAAGCGAGUCUGAAUAGGGCGUUUAGUAUUUGGUCGUAGACCCGAAACCAGGUGAUCUACCCUUGGUCAGGUUGAAGUUCAGGUAACACUGAAUGGAGGACCGAACCGACUUACGUUGAAAAGUGAGCGGAUGAACUGAGGGUAGCGGAGAAAUUCCAAUCGAACCUGGAGAUAGCUGGUUCUCUCCGAAAUAGCUUUAGGGCUAGCCUCAAGUGAUGAUUAUUGGAGGUAGAGCACUGUUUGGACGAGGGGCCCCUCUCGGGUUACCGAAUUCAGACAAACUCCGAAUGCCAAUUAAUUUAACUUGGGAGUCAGAACAUGGGUGAUAAGGUCCGUGUUCGAAAGGGAAACAGCCCAGACCACCAGCUAAGGUCCCAAAAUAUAUGUUAAGUGGAAAAGGAUGUGGCGUUGCCCAGACAACUAGGAUGUUGGCUUAGAAGCAGCCAUCAUUUAAAGAGUGCGUAAUAGCUCACUAGUCGAGUGACACUGCGCCGAAAAUGUACCGGGGCUAAACAUAUUACCGAAGCUGUGGAUUGUCCUUUGGACAAUGGUAGGAGAGCGUUCUAAGGGCGUUGAAGCAUGAUCGUAAGGACAUGUGGAGCGCUUAGAAGUGAGAAUGCCGGUGUGAGUAGCGAAAGACGGGUGAGAAUCCCGUCCACCGAUUGACUAAGGUUUCCAGAGGAAGGCUCGUCCGCUCUGGGUUAGUCGGGUCCUAAGCUGAGGCCGACAGGCGUAGGCGAUGGAUAACAGGUUGAUAUUCCUGUACCACCUAUAAUCGUUUUAAUCGAUGGGGGGACGCAGUAGGAUAGGCGAAGCGUGCGAUUGGAUUGCACGUCUAAGCAGUAAGGCUGAGUAUUAGGCAAAUCCGGUACUCGUUAAGGCUGAGCUGUGAUGGGGAGAAGACAUUGUGUCUUCGAGUCGUUGAUUUCACACUGCCGAGAAAAGCCUCUAGAUAGAAAAUAGGUGCCCGUACCGCAAACCGACACAGGUAGUCAAGAUGAGAAUUCUAAGGUGAGCGAGCGAACUCUCGUUAAGGAACUCGGCAAAAUGACCCCGUAACUUCGGGAGAAGGGGUGCUCUUUAGGGUUAACGCCCAGAAGAGCCGCAGUGAAUAGGCCCAAGCGACUGUUUAUCAAAAACACAGGUCUCUGCUAAACCGUAAGGUGAUGUAUAGGGGCUGACGCCUGCCCGGUGCUGGAAGGUUAAGAGGAGUGGUUAGCUUCUGCGAAGCUACGAAUCGAAGCCCCAGUAAACGGCGGCCGUAACUAUAACGGUCCUAAGGUAGCGAAAUUCCUUGUCGGGUAAGUUCCGACCCGCACGAAAGGCGUAACGAUUUGGGCACUGUCUCAACGAGAGACUCGGUGAAAUCAUAGUACCUGUGAAGAUGCAGGUUACCCGCGACAGGACGGAAAGACCCCGUGGAGCUUUACUGUAGCCUGAUAUUGAAAUUCGGCACAGCUUGUACAGGAUAGGUAGGAGCCUUUGAAACGUGAGCGCUAGCUUACGUGGAGGCGCUGGUGGGAUACUACCCUAGCUGUGUUGGCUUUCUAACCCGCACCACUUAUCGUGGUGGGAGACAGUGUCAGGCGGGCAGUUUGACUGGGGCGGUCGCCUCCUAAAAGGUAACGGAGGCGCUCAAAGGUUCCCUCAGAAUGGUUGGAAAUCAUUCAUAGAGUGUAAAGGCAUAAGGGAGCUUGACUGCGAGACCUACAAGUCGAGCAGGGUCGAAAGACGGACUUAGUGAUCCGGUGGUUCCGCAUGGAAGGGCCAUCGCUCAACGGAUAAAAGCUACCCCGGGGAUAACAGGCUUAUCUCCCCCAAGAGUUCACAUCGACGGGGAGGUUUGGCACCUCGAUGUCGGCUCAUCGCAUCCUGGGGCUGUAGUCGGUCCCAAGGGUUGGGCUGUUCGCCCAUUAAAGCGGUACGCGAGCUGGGUUCAGAACGUCGUGAGACAGUUCGGUCCCUAUCCGUCGUGGGCGUAGGAAAUUUGAGAGGAGCUGUCCUUAGUACGAGAGGACCGGGAUGGACAUACCUCUGGUGUACCAGUUGUCGUGCCAACGGCAUAGCUGGGUAGCUAUGUGUGGACGGGAUAAGUGCUGAAAGCAUCUAAGCAUGAAGCCCCCCUCAAGAUGAGAUUUCCCAACUUCGGUUAUAAGAUCCCUCAAAGAUGAUGAGGUUAAUAGGUUCGAGGUGGAAGCAUGGUGACAUGUGGAGCUGACGAAUACUAAUCGAUCGAAGACUUA
rnacentral:rRNA from 1 species